rnacentral:rRNA from 1 species
GAUGAACGCUGGCGGCGUGCUUAACACAUGCAAGUCGAGCGGGCAAUUUAUCUAGCACUGAUUACUUCAAAUGGAAAUCAUAAGUGUAAUCAUGAAUUUCUACCUUUAAUAAAGAAAAAAGAAAUUCAUGUACGCAAAUAGUGAUAACACAUUUUAGUGAGUGAUGAGUGCUGGAUAAAUUGCUAGCGGCGGACGGGUGCGUAACACGUGGGUAACCUGCCCCUAUCACUGGGAUAACACACUGAAAAGUGUGCUAAUACCAGAUAAUAUAAGCUAUUGGCAUCAUUAGCUUAUCAAAGAAUUUCGGAUAGGGAUGGGCCCGCGUCUGAUUAGCUAGUUGGUGAGGUAACGGCUCACCAAGGCAACGAUCAGUAGCCGACCUGAGAGGGUGAUCGGCCACACUGGAACUGAGACACGGUCCAGACUCCUACGGGAGGCAGCAGUGGGGAAUAUUGCA